UUUUUUUUUUUUUUUGCUAUAGAAGAAUGGUCUAAGUGAUGGCAGAUACAAUCAAGUGUACAGGUCUUUAUAUAAGUUCAGUAGUACAUGUUCGGAAAUACCAGUUGAACAGUUAUUUUUCAAAUGUUCUCAACUGCUGUGUGGUGGUUCUGUUCUAAAUCAUUCAGUAUUUUUCUUUUUCAUUUAUUUUUUUGUGUCUUUGUGGUUCUUAUGGGAAUGAUGAACUCCGAAGUGAAUUAAAUGAAGUCUGAAGUGUAUUAAAUGAUAUGUUGUCAUUUCUGAAGUUGAAAAUUUCAAUGUGAUAUGCAUAUUUUAAUGUAAUAUUCCUAAUAAUUUUAAUAACAGAGACAAUGUAAAACUCUUUCCCUUAAAACACAUACUGUAGUACUGUUACUACUUAAGAUUCAUUUACAGUUACCUAAUAUUGCUGACCUUUGUGUUUUUGGGUACAUUUAAUAGGAGGGUUGCUCAGACCAUUUUUCCUGGACAUUGGACAGAGUUAUCCUGUAAAGAUCUUCCAGGCAUUCCAAUGCAGCGAUUCUCCAUUAACUGUUGUCUGCUCAUAGUCUCCUUCAAGGCACAAAAAGUUGAAGGUUUGGGCAGUCGUGCCGUAUUUGUUAGAGAGUCAGACUUAUAACCCAAGGAUCACAGGUUUGAGUCUCGGUAGCUGCAGGGAUAGUAGGUGGAGGGAGUGAAUGUACAGUGCUCUCUUCCACCUUCAGUACCACGACUGAGGUGAGACCCUUGAGCACUGAACCCUCAACUGCUCCCCGGGCACUGCAGCAAAAAAAAAAAAAAAAAAAAAAACCCUGCCCACUGCUCCGGGUGUGUGUUCACUACACACUGCUUUAUGUGUGAGCGCUUGGAUGGGUUAAGUGCAAAGCACAAAUUCCGAGUAUGGAUCUCCAUACUUGGCCACACGUUACGUCUUUGGCUUUCUUUUCCUUAAAGACAUAUUAAAAUACAUUAGCAUAGUAGGCCUAACUAUUCGGCUACAGCUCUGCACAGUUCAGAAAUUAGGCUGUGUGUUUUUUUCCUAAUAAGAAUAUUUAUUGUUGCCAGCCACUUUAACAUUGUAAAUAUACAGUUUGACCAUUAACACUGCACUGUGCUUACAAACAGGUAAAUAAACUUAAAUAAAGAUUACAGGUUUUGUUGUAAUUUCUCAUUUAAAAUGGUUAUGUCAUCUAUCAUUUUAUGGCCUGGUUUCACAGACAGGGCUUAGACUAAACCAGGAUUAGGCCAUACUUCUGUUAGGACAUUUAAGUAAUUUUUAUAAUGUGCCUUAGAGGAAAAAAAAAAAAAAAAACAUUAC